rnacentral:rRNA from 1 species
UACGGAGGGAGCUAGCGUUGUUCGGAAUUACUGGGCGUAAAGCGCGCGUAGGCGGCUUUGUAAGUUAGAGGUGAAAGCCUGGAGCUCAACUUCAGAAUUGCCUUUAAGACUGCAUCGCUUGAAUCCGGGAGAGGUGAGUGGAAUUCCGAGUGUAGAGGUGAAAUUCGUAGAUAUUCGGAAGAACACCAGUGGCGAAGGCGGCUCACUAGACCGGCAUUGACGCUGAGGUGCGAAAGCGUGGGGAGCAAACAGG